CCCCUCUCCAAGGGGGAAAUACGGUACCCUAGGCGGCGGCCGGCUGCCGGCGGCCGGCGAGCGAACCCCCCGUCGUGCUCCCGUGCGGUCAUCAGCCAUGCCUGCUGAUGGCCGUCGCACCUGCGCAGCUACCGCUUGAAUUCGGCGUCGGCUAGGCGAGCUCCUCGUCUCCCUAGUACCCUCCUCCCUCGCGUCUCACCGUAACGCCCACGAUCCUCUGCUCUGGCGAGGGAGUCCGGUGGAAGCUGUCUGCCAUGGUGAAGGGUAUCGAGAUGCCUUUAGAAAUGGCCAUGCAGUCCCGUGGAAGGUCAGACAUGUAUGCGGAAGCUGAUGCCAAAUACCAGAAUUGCCUAGUGUUGUUACUGAGACAAGAGGCUGGGCCUACUAUACUAUAUUGAUCUACUGGUGUGAAACCUCUUGAACAACGUACCAGGGUUGUAACUUGUGAUGAUUGAGGUUGUUUGUACACAUCAGUUGCUAAGUUUGUUGAGAUGAGCUUCUGAACUGGGCAUUGCAUCGAUGGUUCCGCAAGCGGGAUGACGUUGAUGACACGGUGCCUGUAAUAGAUCUCAGUAACUCUGCAGGAGCCAAGAACAUGGUGAUCCAGGAUUGUGUCAUCCCCGGAGCACGAUAACUGCAUGCCUUGGGCGCCACACGAUGGUGGGUCGGUCGAAAGCCGGAAGGGGAACCGGAUCUCGGGUCCAUGUUUGUUGCAUCGGUGAGAUGGACAAGUUCUUAAGAAAUCUUGGUCCACCGAUGCUGCUUCGACAUAGGAUUCAUAGGUGAGAAGACAUACCAGCAGCAGCGUGACAAGAAAUUUAGAGAAGUCCAUGAAAAAUGUAUUAGGGAUGAAGAUGGAAGAAGAGAAGGCAGGGAGUAUAGGAAGUUGUCACUUAUUUGCUUUAAACUCCUAUAUGGGUACUGAUGCUGUGCUUGUCAUGAUAGCUGUGUGUCUGAGUGCGACUUCCAAGCUACUACUGGAACUUCUGCCUUGUUGAGUGGCUUAAAAAAUUAUGUGGUGUCUGGAAAUGAA